AGAGUAAUAUGAUAAAAUUACCCACGGACUAGAAUGAGUGAUGUCAAAUAUUAUUUAAAAAUUGAUAGCAACGCCUAGUUUGUUCAAACAUUUUUGUAUUGGGCAUAAAUAAUUCAACAUAAUCCAUUUUUAGAGUGAUGACCAACGUAACUUAUUUUUAAGAUUUAUUUUGAUUUUUUUAUGAGUUGAAGUUGGAGUUCUACAUCAAAGUGAAGUCUCGAAUUUCAAAUUAAGGUUGAAUCUCAGGUUCCUGCUUAGGGUUGAGUUGAGGCUCAAGUUUGGGGUCAAGGUCGGGUUGGGGGAUAGGGGUCUUUGUCCUAGGUCUUGUAACUCUAGUCAAGGUCGAGGAUCAGAGUACAGUAUCGGGUCCUAAAUCGCGUGUCCGUAGUAAGGAUCAGGUCACAAUCAUGAGUUGGGUCUAUCAUCCCGAGUUAGGGUUGGUCGAUCGGGCUUUGAGUUUCAGAUCAGGGUUCUAGGAUGGGGUCAAGUUUAGAGUCUCGAGUCAUAGAUGAUAAUAGAUGAUAAUAUAUUUGAGUCUAGUCAAGGUGUGACCGGGUGAGGGUUGGUGUUUGGGGUCAGACCCCAAAGCCCGAACUUCGAUAAUGGUAGGGAGGGGCGGUCCUGAUCAAAUGGUGGGGUUGAAUGAGGUGUUAGGAAGGUGGAUCAUUCAAAAAAAAUGGGUCAAGCUGGCGGGCUCAUGGUCUAUUACAUUUUUAGCUUCUUUCAACCGAAUCUACUUUAGCUAAGUAUCUUUUAGAUUGAUUUUAGUCUAACCCAUUUAUUAACGUUUCCUAUUUUUUAAUAAAACAUUUUUCUCCUUAAGCUUAAACCUGCUCUUCUACCAAAAAAAAAAAAAAACUUAAACCUACGCUCUAAAUCACUAAAUCCCUAAAUCUGUUAGCUGUAUGGGACUUUCAAUCGACGGCGAUCUGGUAGCUGCGUGGAAUCAUCGACGAUCUGGUAGCUGUGUGUUCUUUCAAGGAAUUUUUGUUGUUCAUUAUCAGGUCGGGCCCUGGCUCAUCAUAUGUUUCCACUAAAGUAACUGUUGUAUCAGCGGCAGCGACAAUAAUGGCAGUAUUGGUGGUAUAUACGGGGACUAAGGCAGCCACAAUGGUGGCAGCAGUAGCUUUGGCAGCCUUAUUGAUGGUCUUGAUAACAUUUCGGAGGUCACGAGUUCAAGCCUUGGAAACAACAUCUGGCAGAAAUACAAGGUAUGGCUACGUAUAAUACGCCCUUCUGGUGGGGGCCUUUCUCGGACCCUAUUAGUGCACAGGGCUGCCCCUUUUUUUACCCUUUAGGAAGAUUGGGCAUGUGGACGUGUGCAUGUUUGGAUGCUUCAUCAUUCUGAUUCUUCCUUACUUGUAUGUGUCAGCUUUGUUUUACAUAUGAUAUUGAGGAAUCUUAGAGGUUGUGUGAUCAGUUUCCCUUAACAUGUUUUUGAAUUUUUCCGUUUAUUUAGUGAGACACUUUUUUAACUCGACAAUUUGUGUCUAUACACAGUACACGACCUCCUGGUGUCGACUCUAUGCUGGGGAACUUGCAAUCUGUCAUUGGUCUAAGCUUUGUUAAUACGCCCUCUACUUUACCUAAUCCAAUUAGUCAGAAAUCGACUGCUUUGUUGCACUUGAAUUUACAUGUCAGUUUCGUGCUUUAAAUUGCAGAAAUGGAGCCUUAAUAUGCUGGUGCAAGAAUAAAAGGAGAUGUUGUAACAUUAGAUUUUGUGAAAAAGAUGCUGGAUGACUUCAAAAACCAGAAGAAUUUACAUAAGAGGUUGCCUCCAUCAAGGUAAUUCACAAUAAACAGACUGGUUUCUCUGAAGGAUAUGGGUUUGUGGAAUUCUUCACACAUGCAUCUGCAGAGAAAGUUCUGUAGGAAUGUUCUUGCAUGACAAGAAUAUGGAACAACCUUUCCGUCUGAAUUGGACUACAUUCAGCAUGGGUAACAAGAGAGCAAACAAGGUUGUGUUUGCAACUAUCAUCUUCUUGAGGUUGUCUUUGUAACUGUCUUCUUUCUUGUAACGGUCUAUUUUAGCUGAUAUUUUCACAACAUAGGUGAGUUUUUUAGUUGCAACUAAGAUGUAUCAGGUUGUGUUUAGACACUUAGAAGUGAAAGCAUGAAUGAGAUUUAUGGUAACUUGAUAAAUCAUUAUAAUUGUCCAAAGCAGAAAAGUAAAUUACUGUGGUUGUUUUCAUAUUAACCAUUAGGUUUUAUUUCCAAUGUUAUUGAUGAAGAUCUUAGACAACCUUUUGCACAGUAUGGUGAAAUAGUUUCUGUAAAAAUACCAGUUGGGAAAGGGUGUGGAUUUGUGCAAUUCACAAACAGGAACGAUGCAGAUGAAGCAAACAGUGUGCCUUCUUGGGGACGAAACCCACCAAAUAAACACUUAAAGGGAGCUUCAAAUGCCAAUGGUGGACAAAAUGGAGGUUCAACAACAUUUGCAAAAGAUUGCAAAGAUGACUAAGUCAUGGAUCUUCAAAGGCCUUGUAGUGUAAUAGUCUGGUAAAGCUCCUUUGAAGCAUCAGUUGUUUUAGGUUGACCACAUCUGCUAUUCAGAAUGUGUUAAAGCAGUAGGUAGGAAGUUUACUUCAUUGUGCUUAUGAGUAGUGCCCUUUGUUGUCCAUAAGGAGUGUUUAGACCCCAAACGUUGAGUGUUUAAACCCCAAACGUUGUUUUGUAUGCAGAUAGUAUUAUAUUCAUGUAUACUU